rnacentral:rRNA from 1 species
AUUGAACGCUGGCGGCAGGCCUAACACAUGCAAGUCGAACGAGUGGCGGACGGGUGAGUAAUGUCUGGGAAACUGCCUGAUGGAGGGGGAUAACUACUGGAAACGGUAGCUAAUACCGCAUACCCUCAGAUGUGCCCAGAUGGGAUUCGCUCGUUGGUGGGGUAACGGCUCACCAAGGCGACGAUCCCUAGCUGGUCUGAGAGGAUGACCAGCCACACGGGAACUGAGACAAGGUCCAGACUCCGACGGGAGGCAGCAGUGGGGAAUAUUGCACAAUGGGCGCAAGCCUGAUACAGCCAUGCCGCGUGUAUGAAGAAGGCCUUCGGGUUGUAAAGCACUUUAAGUUGGGAGGCGGUACCAAAAGAAUAAGCACCGGCUAACUUCGUGCCAGCAGCCGCGGUAAUAC